rfam:Picea glauca, whole genome shotgun sequence.
ACAUGCCUACAACAUAGCAUUAAUGCAACGGAUCCCAUUAUAACUCCACAGUUAAGCGUGCUCAGGAUAGAGUAGUAUUAGGAUGGGUGACUUCCUGAGAAGUCCUAUUGUUUUACAUGCC